rnacentral:rRNA from 1 species
UGCAGUCGAGCGGAUUGAAGGGAGCUUGCUCCCUGAUAUUAGCGGCGGACGGGUGAGUAACACGUGGGCAACCUGCCCUGCAGAUGGGGAUAACUCCGGGAAACCGGGGCUAAUACCGAAUAAUCGGUUCUUCCGCAUGGAAGAACUCUGAAAGACGGUUUCGGCUGUCACUGCAGGAUGGGCCCGCGGCGCAUUAGCUAGUUGGUGGGGUAAUGGCCUACCAAGGCGACGAUGCGUAGCCGACCUGAGAGGGUGAUCGGCCACACUGGGACUGAGACACGGCCCAGACUCCUACGGGAGGCAGCAGUAGGGAAUCUUCCACAAUGGACGAAAGUCUGAUGGAGCAACGCCGCGUGAGCGAAGAAGGUUUUCGGAUCGUAAAGCUCUGUUGCGAGGGAAGAACAAGUACGGGAGUAACUGCCCGUACCUUGACGGUACCUCGUCAGAAAGCCACGGCUAACUACGUGCCAGCAGCCGCGGUAAUACGUAGGUGGCAAGCGUUGUCCGGAAUUAUUGGGCGUAAAGCGCGCGCAGGCGGUCCUUUAAGUCUGAUGUGAAAGCCCACGGCUCAACCGUGGAGGGUCAUUGGAAACUGGAGGACUUGAGUACAGAAGAGGAAAGCGGAAUUCCACGUGUAGCGGUGAAAUGCGUAGAGAUGUGGAGGAACACCAGUGGCGAAAGGCGGCUUUCUGGUCUGUAACUGACGCUGAGGCGC